AUGAGGUGCAGGAGAAGCCCGAAGAAGCAGCAAGAACGGCACAUGCUGAGGCCAGAAAACCAGGAGUUCCUGGCAAAGGAGGGGAGGGAUGGCAGAGACAGAGCAGGGAAAACCACAGAUCACAGGAAACCAGGAGUUCCUGGAGGGAUGGCAGGGGACGGAGCAGGGAAAACCACAGAUCACAGGAAACCAGGAGUUCCUGGCAGGGGACAGAGCAGGGAAAACCACAGAUCACAGGAAACCAGGAGUUCCUGGCAGGGGACAGAGCAGGGAAAACCACAGAUCACAGGAAACCAGGAGUUCCUGGAGGGAUGGCAGGGGACAGAGCAGGGAAAACCACAGAUCACAGGGAACCAGGAGUUCCUGGAGGGACGGCAGGGGACAGAGCAGGGAAAACCACAGAUCACAGAAAACCAGGAGUUCCUGGAGGGAUGGCAGGGACAGAGCAGGGAAAACCACAGAUCACAGGAAACCAGGAGUUCCUGGAGGGAUGGCAGGGACAGAGCGGGGAAAACCACAGAUCACAGGACACCAGGAGUUCCUGGCAGGGGACAGAGCGGGGAAAACCACAGAUCACAGGGAACCAGGAGUUCCUGGAGGGAUGGCAAGGGACAGAGCAGGGAAAACCACAGAUCACAGGGAACCAGGAGUUCCUGGAGGGAUGGCAGGGGACAGAGCGGGGAAAACCACAGAUCACAGGAAACCAGGAGUUCCUGGAGGGAUGGCAGGGGACGGAGCGGGGAAAACCACAGAUCACAGGGAACCAGGAGUUCCUGGAGGGAUGGCAGGGGACAGAGCGAGGAAAACCACAGAUCACAGGGAACCAGGAGUUCCUGGAGGGAUGGCAGGGACAGAGCAGGGAAAACCACAGAUCACAGGGAACCAGGAGUUCCUGGCAGGGGACAGAGCAGGGAAAACCACAGAUCACAGGAAACCAGGAGUUCCUGGCAGGGGACAGAGCAGGGAAAACCACAGAUCACAGGGAACCAGGAGUUCGUGGAGGGAUGGCAGGGGACAGAGUGGGGAAAAACCACAGAUCACAGGGAAGGGCAACACUGUGGAGUGAGGCAGGGGCAGUGUCACAGGGCCUGUGUUCAGAGCCUUGUGUAG
rnacentral:lncRNA from 13 species